rnacentral:SRP_RNA from 15 species
AGCUCGCCAGGUCCUGAAGCCAGCAGACGAAUCCAAGCAUCCCG